rnacentral:misc_RNA from 1 species
GUCUCCUUCGUCCACGCCACCAUUAAUACACAGCCUUUUCUUCCCUCUCUUUCUCUUUCUCUUUCUCUCUGGAGGAGAUACUACACUAACCAGGCAAGGCAAGCGAGGAAAAAAUGAACGAUAAGACCGAAAACCUUUGUUGAAAACCAAUUUCGUCAAUCGAUUUCUCUUCAAUGGCCGCUGCUUCCAGUGCCACAACCACAACUCUCUCUCUCGUCCCUUCUCUGGGAUUCUCUUCGCGUUUCUCCUCUUCUUCUACUUCUUCUACCUCAUCAUUGUUCUUUACGGGUAGCACCCACCUUUGGUCCCAUAAGAAUUUCGCCUCUGUUUCUUUAACUUCUCCUCCCCAUACUUCUCUAAAGUUCAGGACCCAGGCCUCCACCAAUCGUUUUCGACCUGUGAUUAAUGCUUCCGGGGAUUACUAUGUUACUCUUGGGGUUCCUAAAUCUGCUACUGGUAAAGAAAUCAAGGCCGCUUAUCGAAGGUUAGCUCGCCAGUACCACCCAGAUGUUAACAAGGAACCUGGAGCAACUGAAAAGUUCAAGGAGAUAAGUGCUGCCUAUGAGGUGCUAUCAGAUGAUAAAAAGAGGGCUCUGUAUGACCAGUAUGGUGAAGCUGGAGUUAAGAGUACAGUAGGAGGAGCAUCAAGUGCUUAUACGACAAAUCCUUUUGAUCUAUUUGAGACAUUCUUUGGGUCAACCAUAGGUGGUUUUCCUGGCAUGGAAACUGGGUUCAGCACACGCCGCCGUAGUACUGUUACUAAGGGUGC